UACUGAUGAUGAAGUUGAUUUCUAACAUGGUCUUCAAUGGCUGAGCCAAACCUUCCACUUGAAAUUUUCAGUUGCUGACAUCUGGUUUGUCUCUUCUUUGUGACUAGCUACUUUUCCUUUCUUGCCCAGGCUCCAGGUUCCUUGAGUUGGCAUUGUCACUGUUAUUAGAUUUUAUGAUGUCAAACAACAGACUCACUUAUGGUGAUGGUACCUGGCCCAAACCAUCACAUCACAGGAGUCUUACCAGAAUGCACAGCUGGAUUCGAGGCUAUCAGGAAGGUGGGCUUACCACUUAGCAGGACUUCAUUCUAUUUUUUCUGACAACCAGGAUUUCCUUUUUUUAUUAAACUAAAAAAAAUAUAUAUUUUAAUAUAUACAACUCAGUAUUGACAUUUUAAAGUCAUAAAAAUAAUUUAUAAUACUUAAAUUCUCCUUAAAUAUACAUGAUAUAUUCUGAAGCUAAAACUAAUAUGCACUCAACCAGUUUUUAAAACUAUUUGGAACAUUAAGCAUGGUAGAAGUAGGAAAAAAACAUCUCUUAUGAAGUACUCUAAGAAAGGAAAUCGAGAAAAGUUCCUGAUUAGACAGAAACUGUUCCAUCUCCAAAGGAGAAGCUAUGGCUUCAUAGAAUGAAUUGGGCAGUGUUCCUUCUGUUUCAUUUUUGACGAAUAGUUUGAAGAGCAUUGGUAUUAGGUUGUCUUUGGAGGCCUGAUAGAAUUCUGCACUAAAACUAUCUGGUCCUGGGCUCUUUUUUGGUUGGGAGACUUUUAAUGACUGCUUCCAUUUCUUUAGAAGAUAUGGGACUGCUUUGAUGGUUUUCUGAUCCAGAUUUAACUUUGGUAUUUGGUUUCUGUCUAGAAAAUUGUCCAUUUCAUCCAGAUUUUACAGUUUUGUUAAUAUAGACUUUUAUAGUAGGAUCUGAUGAUUUUUUGAAUUUCCUCAGUUUCUGUUGUUUUAUUGCCCUUUUCAUUUCUGAUAUUAUUAAUUUGGAUACUGUCUCUGUGCCCUCUAGUUAUUCUGGCUAAGGGUUUAUCUAUCUGAUUUUCUCAAAGAACCAGCUCCAGGUUUGGUUGAUUCUUUGUAUAAUUCUUUUUGUCUCUACUUGUUUGAUUUCAGCCCUGAGUAUGAUUAUUUCUUGCUAUCUACUCCUCUUGAGAGUAUUUGCCUCUUUUUGUUCUAGAGCUUUCAAGUGUACUAUUAAGUUGCUAGUGUAUGUGCUCUCCAGUUUCUUUUGGGGUGAACUCAGAGCUGAGUUUUCCUCUUAGCACUACUUUCAUUGUGUCCCAUUGUGGUCUCCGCCAGCCUUGAGCAGGCUGGUUCAGACCUGUUCUGCCAUUGUGAACGAGACCAGCUCUAAAUACUCACUAAUAUUAGCACUAAAAAUGUCAUCUUUUGAAGGCUGUUGAUUGCAAGGGUGCAAAAAGGAUACAGGCUAGACUGAGUCAGCAUUGGCCCAGUGCUGAUAUCAGCAAGGGGUUGACAGUGGAAAAUGGGAGUGAAAAAUUCUAAACAGGCGUUUGUCUGCACUCAAGAACUGCAUUAGGCGAAAAGAGUAGGGCUUAAAAUAAU
rnacentral:lncRNA from 1 species